rnacentral:rRNA from 1 species
UACGGAGGGUGCAAGCGUUAUCCGGAUUUACUGGGUUUAAAGGGUGUGUAGGCGGACUUUUAAGUCUGGGGUGAAAUCUCCGAGCUCAACUCGGAAACUGCCUUGGAUACUAUUAGUCUUGAAUUUAUGUUGAGGUUGGCGGAAUAUACAUGUAGCGGUGAAAUGCAUAGAUAUGUUAUAGAACACCGAUUGCGAAGGCAGCUAACUAAGCAUAUAUUUGACGCUGAGGCACGAAAGCGUGGGGAUCAAACAGG